rnacentral:rRNA from 1 species
AACGAACGCUGGCGGCGUGCCUAACACAUGCAAGUCGAGCGAGAAAGUCUUCGGAUGGGUACAGCGGCGGACGGGUGAGUAAUACGUAGGUAAUCUACCUUUUUGUGGGGAAUAACUAAGGGAAACUUUAGCUAAUACCGCAUACGGUUACAGAUCUUAUGGUCUGUAAAGAAAGGGGGGUCGUAAGAUCUCUCGCAAAG